UCCCAGGGUAAAAACAUUCACGAGUCUUACCUCUGGUCCUGGUCCCAGAGCCUGUAAAGGUGAACCCACUGGGCCUGGUUGGAGAGAGGAGGAAAGUUUGUUUUAAAAGGAACUGUCUGAACAAU